CAUCUAGAAGGACACAGCAAGCUG
rnacentral:piRNA from 1 species